rnacentral:lncRNA from 1 species
UUUGGACUGUUUAUAUUUUAUUCAAGACUAGUUUGGUGCGGUUUGUGGAGGAAAUUUUGUUUAAGAAAAACAAAACAAUGGGGAUGAAGAUUUAGAAAAGAAACACCACGAUUCUAGAUGUAGGGAAGGUUUUAAACUAAGGGCAAUAAGUCUUUUUAUCUUCAAUUUUGGUUAAUUAUAUAAUAAAUGAAAAUGUAGGUUAUAUUUCAAUAGGUAAUCUCUAAAAUGGCUAUAUUUCUAAGUUUCCCAAAUAAGUUCAGGCUUUCAACAAAAAUUUCAACUGGCCACUGUGUUUUUUGAACUGCAUUGCUGAUUCUAAGGUUAUUGACCAACUUAGCUUGAAUUAAUAUGGAAUUGAACGUAGAUAAAAAGGUCAUCAUUAAGUAGUUACUUGCAUUGGUCACCUAAUUAGGUUUUUUUUUUUUAAUUUUAAUUUUUUAGUUUUGUGAAUGAUUAGAUAUGCAUCUUAAUAAAAGAAAAUGUUACACUUUUUUUAGGAAAUAAUGGAGGUUUUCCACCACACAUUAAUGAAAGAGUAAUUUUUAUCUUCAUGCAGUCUCAGUACUACAUGAAGAGCGUGAUAGCAUACUUUUAACUCUUAGGUCAAAUGAUAUGUCAAAAUAGAAAUGAAUUUAUAGGAGUUCGAACUCAAAUUGAGAGUUUCAGAUCUUUACUCCCUUUCCAC